rnacentral:rRNA from 1 species
UACGUAGGGAGCAAGCGUUGUUCGGAUUUACUGGGCGUAAAGGGCGCGUAGGCGGCCAUCUAAGUCAGACGUGAAAUCCCCAGGCUUAACUUGGGAACUGCGUCUGAUACUGGGAGGCUUGAGUGCGGGAGAGGGAUGUGGAAUUCCAGGUGUAGCGGUGAAAUGCGUAGAUAUCUGGAGGAACACCGGUGGCGAAGGCGGCAUCCUGGACCGACACUGACGCUGAGGCGCGAAAGCUAGGGGAGCAAACGGG